GCAAAUAAUAAAUUUUAGAAAUGAAAUUUUUAAUAUUUUCCUCUAGGUUUUACUAUGGCAAAGCGCAAAAUUUGGAAGGCCGGCUGAUGUACUCUUCAUAUCAGUAUGGAUGGGAGUUUUCUAGCGGCCCUUACUUGAUUCUCACGCCGUCCACGCUGCGGUGCUACCGGGCUUUGGUUUCCGCACAUCAAAUAGGCAUCUUUUUAAACCUGCAAGGACCAGCUUGUUGCGGAAAAAGCUCUACUUUUCUCAGCCUAGCUGCACUUUUUGGACGACUUAAGGUGUCUGUGGCCUGCUCAGUGGCUACUAACGAAGUCACACUACUCAGGGUGCUACAGGGGAGCGCUGGAUGCGGGGCAUGGUGCUUGCUUGACGAGGUGCAUCAACUCACGCCUGAGGUAUUAUCGGUCACUGCCCAGCACGUGUUGGAUUUGUCAAUGGCGUGCGAAGCGAACGCGGCGCAACUGAGCCUGCAGGGUCGGCAACCGGUGCGCCUCGCUCGACCUUUCUGCCUCUUGUGCGUCACCUCGCAACGGCCGCUCCUAGAUCAAGUGCCAAAUAAUUUCAAGAGCUUGUUUCGACCGUGGACUUGGAGCAAGCCAGAUAUGAGCGUUUUUAUUGAAAUCAAGCUGAGGGCAGCGGGAGAUCAAAACGCGAGAGAAAAGGCAAAACGACUGACGACUGCUUUUGAAAUCGCGCAGCAGCGACUUGGCCC